GACGAAGGGGGCUAGCGUUGUUCGGAAUUACUGGGCGUAAAGCGCGUGUAGGCGGUUGUCCAAGUUGGAUGUGAAAGCCUUGAGCUUAACUCAAGAAAUGCAUUCAGGACUGGAUGACUAGAGGACCGGAGAGGAUAGUGGAAUUCCCAGUGUAGUGGUGAAAUACGUAGAGAUUGGGAAGAACACCAGUGGCGAAGGCGGCUCACUGGCCCGGUACUGACGCUGAGGUGCGAAAGCGUGGGGAGCAAACAGG
rnacentral:rRNA from 1 species